UCAGCCCAAGUGAUCUCUCUUGGGCCCAACUAAAAGGAUUUAAUUACUGGAUUACCAAGAGGACUUUUCAGUCAAGUGGCAUCACCCUAUGAGACAAGCCUGAAGGACACAGUAAUCAAGAAUACAACAGCAUAUUUUAGAAGUACAGAUGUUGAGGAGUUAACAGAACAUACAAGACCUUCAAAAACCUUCAUUUGAGAGUAGUCAAGAUGGAAUGAAAGUGUGAGAAGAUGCAAAAUGCCAAUAAGAAUUGUUCUGUCUGCCAACAGAAAAGACGAGACCGCAGGCUAUACAGCAGAUUCCCUGGGGGGAAGCCCCUGAACACAGCUGGGUCUGAAAAUACACCAGCGAGCAAAGUCCCUGUUUUCAUGAAGAUUACAUUCUAGUGGAGGAGACAGGCUCUUAACCAAUAGAUCAAUAAAUACAUAAAACAAUCUCAGAUGUCAGCUGAAGCAGGGAAAAGGAACA